rnacentral:rRNA from 1 species
GACAGAGGGGGCAAGCGUUGCUCGGAAUUACUGGGCGUAAAGGGCGCGUAGGCGGGAUGGCAAGUCGGUCGUGAAAUCCUUCGGCUCAACCGAAGAACGUCGAUCGAUACUGCUGUUCUUGAGGGUUGCAGAGGAGACUGGAAUUCCCGGUGUAGCGGUGAAAUGUGUAGAGAUCGGGAGGAACACCGGUGGCGAAGGCGGGUCUCUGGGCAAUUCCUGACGCUGAGGCGCGAAA